AGCCUGAUCCAGCCAUACCGCGUGGGUGAAGAAGGCCUAUCGGGUUGUAAAGCCCUUUUGUUGGGAAAGAAAAGCAUUCGGUUAAUACCCGGGUGUUCUGACGGUACCCAAAGAAUAAGCACCGGCUAACUUCGUGCCAGCAGCCGCGGUAAUACGAAGGGUGCAAGCGUUACUCGGAAUUACUGGGCGUAAAGCGUGCGUAGGUGGUUGUUUAAGUCCGUUGUGAAAGCCCUGGGCUCAACCUGGGAAUUGCAGUGGAUACUGGGCAACUAGAGUGUGGUAGAGGAUAGUGGAAUUUCCGGUGUAGCAGUGAAAUGCGUAGAGAUCGGAAGGAACAUCUGUGGCGAAGGCGACUAUCUGGGCCAACACUGACACUGAGGCACGAAAGCGUGGGGAGCAAACAGGAUUAGAUACCCUGGUAGUCCACGCCCUAAACGAUGCGAACUGGAUGUUGGGUUCAACUUGGAACCCAGUAUCGAAGCUAACGCGUUAAGUUCGCCGCCUGGGGAGUACGGUCGCAAGACUGAAACUCAAAGGAAUUGACGGGGGCCCGCACAAGCGGUGGAGUAUGUGGUUUAAUUCGAUGCAACGCGAAGAACCUUACCUGGUCUUGACAUCCACGGAACUUUCUAGA
rnacentral:rRNA from 1 species